CCGGGCAGCUCACCGGAUAAGACAGCUGGAUGAUAGCCGGGCUGAAGACUCUGCUUGACUAGCUGAGAGGAGGUGCAUGGCCGUCGUCAGUUCGUACUGUGAAGCAUCCUGUUAAGUCAGGCAACGAGCGAGACCCACGCCAACAGUUGCCAGCAUGUCCUCCGGGAUGAUGGGGACACUGUUGGGACCGCCUCUGCUAAAGAGGAGGAAGGAAUGGGCAACGGUAGGUCAGCAUGCCCCGAAUUAUCCGGGCUACACGCGGGCUACAAUGGUCAGGACAAUGGGUAUCGACACCGAGAGGUGGAGGCAAUCUCCUAAACCUGUCCUUAGUUCGGAUUGUGGGCUGCAACUCGCCCACAUGAAGCUGGAAUCCGUAGUAAUCGCGUUUCAAAAUAGCGCGGUGAACUUAUCGUCCCUGCUCCUU
rnacentral:rRNA from 1 species